rnacentral:lncRNA from 1 species
GGUCUGUUCUAGAAAAACAAUGGCGGGUAGGAUGGUUUCCUGGGUAAAGAGGGGAGCUGGGGAAAAGAAACAGAUGUCCAUAACAGUGUCAGAUCAAUACAAGCUUGAAAAUCUCUUACUCAACUUCUUAGGACCUUAGUUUUUUCAUUUGGUGUUAAGUAGAGUUGCAUGGUGAAGCAAUGCCAGAGCCUUGAUGAGAAGCCAGGUCUGUCCAACUCAAGUGCCUGGACACAAAAAUAUCCUCCCAUCCGAGAGGAUGAAGAGAGAGAAGAUAUCAAAUGGACUGAGCAGAGAGCCUGACACAUUGUAGGCACUCAAUUAAGUUUUAGAAUAGAAAUGAAACCCCAGGUAUGGAUUUUUGAAGGCGAAAGAAAUAAUGGACAGAAACUAAGGAUACUUGUGGAGGCAAUGAAGCCAUCUAAAGUCAGAUGCAUAAUGGUCAAAAGCACAGGAUGCGGAGUCAGGUGGACUUGUGUUGGAAUAUCAAUUCUGCCAUUUACUGUCGGACCUCAGGAGCGGAACGUGGCCUGUGGAAGCUGGUUGGAAAAGAUCCCUCU